rnacentral:rRNA from 1 species
AUUGAACGCUGGCGGCAGGCCUAACACAUGCAAGUCGAGCGGGGGAGCAAUCCCUAGCGGCGGACGGGUGAGUAACGCGUGGGAACGUGCCCUUUGGUACGGAAUAGCCCUGGGAAACUGGGAGUAAUACCGUAUGAGCUCUACGGAGGAAAGAUUUAUCGCCAAAGGAUCGGCCCGCGUUGGAUUAGGUAGUUGGUGGGGUAAUGGCCUACCAAGCCGACGAUCCAUAGCUGGUUUGAGAGGAUGAUCAGCCACACUGGGACUGAGACACGGCCCAGACUCCUACGGGAGGCAGCAGUGGGGAAUCUUAGACAAUGGGCGCAAGCCUGAUCUAGCCAUGCCGCGUGAGCGAUGAAGGCCUUAGGGUUGUAAAGCUCUUUCGUGGGGGAAGAUAAUGACUGUACCCCAAGAAGAAGCCCCGGCUAACUCCGUGCCAGCCGCCGCAGUAA